GCCGAAGUGGUGAAAUUGGUAGACGCGCUGGACUCAAAAUCCAGUGGAGGCAACUCCAUGCCGGUUCGACCCCGGCCUUCGGUA
rnacentral:tRNA from 1 species